rnacentral:rRNA from 1 species
GACGAACGCUGGCGGCGUGCUUAACACAUGCAAGUCGAACGAAGUGGCGAACGGGUGAGUAACGCGUAAUCAACCUGCCCUUCAGAGGGGGUCACCAGUUGGAAACGACUGCUAAUACCGCAUACUGAAGGAGGGGAUUGCGUCUGAUUAGCUAGUUGGAGGGGCAACGGCCAACCAAGGCGAGGAUCAGUAGGCGGUCUGAGAGGAUGAACGGCCAAAAUGGGACUUGGACCAGGCCCAGACUCCUACGGGAGGCAGCAGUGGGGAAUCUUCGGAAAUGGGCGGAAGUCUGACGGAGCAACGCCGCGUGAGUGAUGACGGCCUUCGGGUUGUAAAGCUCUGUUAAGCGGGACGCGGUACCGGAAGAGAAAGCCACGGCUAACUACGUGCCAGCAGCCGCGGUAAUUC